UUGGAGGAUUCCGUUAUCUUUAAUUUUAUUAUUUACGGAUUUUUAUAUCCCUUAUUUAUUUGGGCUUCUCCUUUUUUGUCUGUAUGUUAUAGUCCUAUAGCUCAGUUGGUUAGAGCGCUACACUGAUAAUGUAGAGGUCGGCAGUUCAACUCUGCCUGGGACUACUAUAUUUUUAAUAUAGGGGGGAUUAGCUCAGCUGGCUAGAGCACCUGCUUUGCAAGCAGGGGGUCAACGGUUCGAAUCCGUUAUUCUCCACAUACUGAGAAUGAAUGUUUGAAAGCUGUAAAUUCUCAAUGAGUUCUUUGACAUUUUGGACACAAAACAAUAACGACAUUAUUUGUCCGUUUUUCGUUUUCGUUAUUCAUUAUUUCUAUUUCAUUUUUUGUUUUAGUUAUUUUGUUUUUUCGUUUACGAUUUGAUUAUUUUGCGGUUCUUUAUUUUUUUCGGUUUUUUUUGCCGUUUUAAAUUUAUGUACUGUAUUAUUUUUAGGACAAUAUAUUUUAUAUGCUAUAAUUAUGCUAUAAUAG
rnacentral:tRNA from 1 species